GAUGAACGCUGGCGGCGUGCCUAAUACAUGCAAGUCGAGCGAACAGACGAGGAGCUUGCUCCUCUGACGUUAGCGGCGGACGGGUGAGUAACACGUGGAUAACCUACCUAUAAGACUGGGAUAACUUCGGGAAACCGGAGCUAAUACCGGAUAAUAUAUUGAACCGCAUGGUUCAAUAGUGAAAGACGGUUUUGCUGUCACUUAUAGAUGGAUCCGCGCCGCAUUAGCUAGUUGGUAAGGUAACGGCUUACCAAGGCAACGAUGCGUAGCCGACCUGAGAGGGUGAUCGGCCACACUGGAACUGAGACACGGUCCAGACUCCUACGGGAGGCAGCAGUAGGGAAUCUUGCGCAAUGGGCGAAAGCCUGACGGAGCAACGCCGCGUGAGUGAUGAAGGUCUUCGGAUCGUAAAACUCUGUUAUUAGGGAAGAACAACUGUGUAAGUAACUAUGCACGUCUUGACGGUACCUAAUCAGAAAGCCACGGCUAACUACGUG
rnacentral:rRNA from 1 species